UCAGCACUCCUGUUCCUCAUCUGCCAUUUACUCCUUUCGUAAGCCAGGCCAACCCUCCAGUCCCCGCCGGAUCGUUUGCCUUACUUUUUCUGGACUCUUGGAAUAUUCGCUGCACCUCCGCCUAGCUGACUACUACACCAGUAUACUGGAUCUUCACAACCCUCCAGCCGGCUCGCUUUCACCCACUGCUCCACCAACUGCACUCGCCUGUUCAUUUUUCCCUCGUACAAUAUCUAAAUAAAACCUCACCUUGUUCAAUCUUC